UGUUCCAAAAAGAAAAGAACACGCUUUAAAUCCAAAUUGCGCGGGAGGAAGAAGCUUCCACAGAACUCAGCAAGAUGGGCGGACACGACUUGGACUUGGAGAGAGCUCGGUUGUUAAGCUUGGCAGCGGAACUCGGUUUUGAUGAAGAAUCGGCUGAGGCUUGCUUGGACCGCAUAAUCAACCUAUAUGGUGACGAUGGGAGAGAAUUUGUCUCUGUUGAGCAUUGUGGAGAUGAUUUUUUGGCUGCUCUGGCAGAGUCCGCUCCGGACAAUGAGGAAUGGGAUGAUUUACAGGCAAUGGAGUCAGAAGCUUGUGGAGCUUUGGAUAUGAUUCUGGAUGAAAGUGUCCAGGAAAAAGAUGGAGUUCAAAAUGUUCAUAACAGAGAAUGCCCAAUCAAUAUAAUAGAGGAUUCAUCUGAAGCUGAGGAAAAUCCAAAUUUGGUUAAUCUCGACUCUUCCAGCGAUAGUGAUGAAGAUGUAGACUUCAACGCUUCAAAGAAGAGAAAUCUUGAUUCUACCACCUCUUAUUGUUCCGAUCAGGCUACUUCUAUACUCACUUCAAGGGCUAGCAAAAACAGCACUACUUGGGGUUCAAUUUAUUCAAGUCCAAGCGAAAGACAGUACUCUAGAACAUCGGGGGCUGGACGCAAGACUCUUACUUAUGAAGAGUUACAAACUUUGGAUGAUUUUGAAUUAGCAAAUGUUGUUAUUUUUGGAAACAAGGCAUUCCGACCUCUGCAACACGAGGCUUGUAAAGCAGCUGCAUCAAAGCAAGAUUGUUUUAUACUAAUGCCAACUGGAGGAGGCAAAAGCUUAUGUUACCAGCUGCCUGCAACAGUUCAACCAGGUGUUACUGUUGUCAUAUCUCCCCUCCUUUCCCUAAUUCAAGAUCAGAUAAUCACAUUAAACCUCAAGUUUGGAAUUCCAUCGACAUUCUUAAAUUCUCAACAAACUUCUUCUCAAGCAGCUGUUGUCCUACAAGAAUUGAGGCAAGAUAAACCUUCAUGCAAGCUCUUGUAUGUGACUCCUGAGAGAAUAGCGACUCACUCAUUUUUGGAGAUUCUUAGAUUCAUGCAUAUGAAGAAACAACUUGCGGGUUUUGUUGUUGAUGAAGCACACUGUGUAAGCCAGUGGGGACAUGACUUUCGCCCAGAUUAUCGAAAUCUAGGAUGUCUUAAGCAAAAUUUCCCUGAUGUUCCAGUGAUGGCCCUGACUGCAACAGCAACACACUCAGUUCGCGAGGAUGUACUAAAAGCUUUAAGAAUCCCUCACGCACUCAUCCUUGAAAGAAGUUUUGACAGGCCUAACCUGAAGUACGAAGUAGUGUGUAAGACAAAAGAGCCUCUGGUGCAGCUUGGACAGUUCAUACUGGAACGUUUCAAGAACCAGUGUGGAAUUGUGUAUUGUCUUUCAAAAAGUGAAUGUGUAGAAGUAUCAGAAUCUCUAAAUAAAAAAUUUAAAAUCAAGGCAGCAUAUUAUCAUGCUGGUUUAGCUGCUCGACAAAGAGUUUUGGUACAGAAGAAAUGGCAUGUGGGGGAUAUCCAGAUUGUUUGUGCUACAAUUGCCUUUGGCAUGGGGAUAGACAAGCCAGAUGUUCGGUUUGUUAUUCACAAUACAAUGUCAAAAUCAAUUGAAAGCUAUUAUCAGGAAUCAGGAAGAGCUGGAAGGGAUGGUUACCCUGCUUCAUGUAUUGUCUUGUACCAAAAAAAGGAUUUCAGCCGAGUGGUAUGCAUGUUACGCAAUGCUCAAGGAUUUAAAAGUGAAAGUUUUAAGAUGUCAAUGUCACAAGGAAAGAAAAUGCAACAGUUCUGUGAACUCAAGGAUGAAUGUCGGAGACAAAUGUUGCUUCAGCAUUUUGGAGAGUCAUUUGAUCGAAAAGCAUGCAAAUAUGGCUCUAAUCCAUGUGAUAACUGUCUUAAGAAGUCUUCCUGAUAAGCAUAUGACAUUAUUAGCCGUUAAAGGCGAUUGCAAACUGAAGACCAUCUCACCUUAAAUCAUGGGACAACAUUUCAGACCUAUGUUAUUGGGUCAAGGUGCCUUUUAGUGCAGGCUGGAAAUUGAUUCUUCUUGACUACAAACUUGCCUGUCCGCUUCACAAUCCAGUUGCAAGAGCUAAUGACUACACAUUUCAAGAAGGAAAAUGAGGAGUCCAAGUUUCUCUCUCAUACUUGAUGGAUGGCUUUGCUCGUGAUGCUUAGACUCAUGUGAAUAAGUGACAUAUCCAGAAAUAAAGAAUGUGACUUGAAUAUGGGUUUAGAGAGGAUUGGAUGACUAUGGGCUAGCUACUAGUAUUAGUAUUAUUUCAAGAGCAUGAAGUUGAGGGGAGACCUAUACUAAAUUUGUCGAUGAUGUACAUAAAUCUUUUAUUUUCGACGUUACUUGUAUCAUAUUUUAUUUGGUUUGUUUGAUUAUUUGUUUGGUAUAGUUUAAAUGAUUAGAUGCUCCUAGUGAUUACUAUUACCAAUAAUUUAAGGGACUCUAACUCAUUAAUCUUUUUUU